AAGUCGUAACAAGGUUUCCGUAGGUGAACCUGCGGAAGGAUCAUUAACACAAUUUUACUGUGAUAAAAUCCGUUGAAUUCGCAACUCGAAUUCAAUGGUAUCCACCCCAUUAUUGACGAACUUAUUCUUAGAUGUUUCAAAAAAACAUAGAGCUUUAAAUCUUUACGUUUUUUGAAAACAUUCUAAAAACCUUUUUCUUUACCCUAUAACAUUUUUUAACCCCUUUUACAACAUGUCUUAGACUGAAAUGAAAAAUUUCUAUCAAAAAAUUGAUAAAAACAACUUUUAACAACGGAUAUCUUGGCUCUC
rnacentral:misc_RNA from 1 species